rnacentral:hammerhead_ribozyme from 1 species
AUCUUGAUGACGAGUUCCAAAUAGGACAAAACGAUCGUCCUGGAU